rnacentral:rRNA from 1 species
UACAGAGGGGGCAAGCGUUGUUCGGAAUUACUGGGCGUAAAGGGCGCGUAGGCGGCCUUCUAAGUCGAACGUGAAAUCCCCGGGCUCAACCCGGGAACUGCGUCCGAUACUGGAAGGCUUGAAUCCGGGAGAGGGAUGCGGAAUUCCAGGUGUAGCGGUGAAAUGCGUAGAUAUCUGGAGGAACACCGGUGGCGAAGGCGGCAUCCUGGACCGGUAUUGACGCUGAGGCACGAAAGCGUGGGGAGCAAAAGGG